UUUAUUGCCACAUAUGAUGCAGUGUACUAAGUUGCAGAAAAACUGAAAUCUAAACAACAAUAACAACAAAAUAACAAUAAUAUAAAUAAUUUUAAAAACACUAUAGUGUAUUAACAAAUAGAAAGCAGAGAAAUAUUCUUUAUUAACAUAAAACACACAAUUUUAAUAUUAAAAUUGAAACAUUAGUCACUGACAACAUAUUGUAGGCCUGUAUACUCGAUAAAUCAUGGUAAGGUACUGUAUUUAAGAACGUUAACAAUGAGGAAAAUAAAUGAAAAUCACAGUACGUGUAGGCCACACAAGUUCUUGUCAAUUGUUUUUAAUUUAAAUUUGACUUAUUAAUUAAUAGAUUAAGUUAUUUUUUUUUCCAUUAGGCCUAUUUUUUUCAUUUUUUUUGUAGACUUAAAUACAAGUCAUGGUUUAUGGAUAUUCCCUCUUAUUCUUCCAAUUUAUUCAUACUCCAAUCAAGAUUCAAAAAGAAAACGUUCAGUGAAUGAGUGCUGCCUCCCGAUCCAUACCGUACCGUACGUCACAUGCUCUAUUGUCAAUACUCCUGGGUUUUAAAAAAGAGCAAUCCAAGUGCAAGUUCAUAUAAGCUCAAGACUAUGGAGUUGCAUUUUUGUGUAAGUCUGAAAAGAGAAAUUAAAGAGACAAAUUAAAUAUGGCAACAGUUAUCCUAAAUAAGGAAACAGCUAUCCCAAAAACAGCAACUGCUCUCACAAAAAGGCAAUAAAUCUCACAAGAAAGGCAACUACCCCUUUCAUAAAAAGCAACAGCUCUCUGAAAAAGGCAACAGCACUCCAAACAAGAUAACAGCACUCCAAACAAGAUAACAGCUCUCCCAAGGAAGGCAACAACUCUCACAAGAAAGGCAACAGUUUUCCCAAGAAAGGCAACAACACUCCCACAGAAGGAUGCUUUAUUCAGUGUAAAUAUAGUGUUAACAAAAACCUUUUAUAUUACAGUCAAGAGGUCAAACUCAGGCUUCAAAAGCAGCUAACAAGAUCAUUGCUCGAUUAGCUCAUAUGAUGUUCAACAUCUGUGCCUUCAGGUUGGUGCGAAUAUUCAAGAUUUGUUGUCUGGUA